rnacentral:rRNA from 1 species
GGGAUAGAAUUCCAGGAGUAGCGGUGAAAUGCGUAGAUAUCUGGAGGAAUACCAAAGGCGAAGGCAGUCCCCUGGUCCGAUACUGACACUGAGGUACGAAAGCGUGGGGAGCAAACAGGAUUAGAUACCCUGGUAGUCCACGCCCUAAACGAUGUCGAUUAGCCAUUGGAAGGACCCCUUUUCCUUUCAGUGACGUAGCUAACGCGUUAAAUCGACCGCCUGGGAAGUACGACCGCAAGGUUAAAACUCAAAGGAAUUGACGGGGACCUGAACAAGCGGUGAAUGAUGUGGAUUAAUUCGAUGCUACGCGAAGAACCUUACCUACCUUUGACAUGGCCAAAGUUCUACCGAGAGGCGGAAGUACUCGUAGGAGGAUUGGCGCACAGGUGCUGCAUGGUUGUCGUCAGUUCGUGUCGUGAGAUGUUGGGUUCAGUCCCGCAACGAACGCAACCCUUAUCUUUAAUUGCUCCUAUUUUAACAGGCACUUUAAAGAAACUGCCAAUGAUAAGUUGGAGGAAGGUGGGGAUCACGUCAAGUCCGCAUGGCCUUUAUAGGUAGGGCUUCACACGUCAUACAAUGGUUAGAACAAAGAGCUGCAAAUUCGUAAGAAGGAGCCAAUCUCACAAACCUAACCUCAGUUCGAAUUGCGGUCUGCAACUCGAGCGCAUGAAGCCGGAAUCGCUAGUAAUCGUGGAUCAGAAUGCCACGGUGAAUACGUUCUUAGGUCUU